AACGAGGCCGACCUGCGGCUGAGUUACCUGCGGAAGGAUCAUUACCAGUACCACCGUCGCCUCCGGGCGUCGGUCUACUACCAACCCUUUGUCAUCCGACCUCGUUGCCUCCGGGUGCGACCCUGACCUUCGGGUCUCGCGUCUCCCCGGGUGGACACACAUCAAAACUCUGCAUAACUUUGUAGUCUGAGUAAAACUUUUAAUUAAAUUAAAACUUUUAACAAUGGAUCUCAGAUCGGA
rnacentral:misc_RNA from 1 species